UGGGCCGGGAGGAGAAUAAAGAGCUUGGCUUGUGCUAGGCACCGGCGGGCAAGACCCACGAGGGUCCCACAGUAGCUCUUCUUGCAGUGACCUGGGUGGUUACAGUACAGACACCAGGCAAGCUGGGUUUCAUUUUCUUAGUUAUUCUUAUCAGUGCAUGUUUGUAGUACAUGAUGAUUAUACUCUUCAUGGGGAAUUGGUACUUCUACACCCUUUUUACUUCCCCUUCCCCUGCAAGUUGGAAAGGCUAUUUUAUUUUAUUUUGGAAACACAGUCUCGCUAUGUGGUCCAGGCUGGCCUCAAACUCACAGCAACCCUCCUGCUUCAGCCUCCUGAGGACAGGCAUGCACUACCAUGCCCAGCAUCAUGAGGCCAUUUUACAGGUGAGGGGCACCAGGGAGAGGUGGCCCUCAGGAGAAGCUGGGCACUUGGACUCCAAGCCCGAGCUCCUCUUGCCUCGUAGGUGGGCUGACAGCGGCCAGGCUGCUUCCUUUCUGUGGCUCAAGCAGGGACCCUACCCACGUCACCCUAAGCCGAGCCCACGUCCACACCAGCACCUGGUUAACUCUCGGAACGUGGUUACAAGCUACAGAAGGAGCGUGGGCCAGGAUGUUAUUAAAAUCCUGAGGAACUGCUCUAUGGGACUGAAGAAAGUCUUCUUAGCUGCAGAAGACAGACACAGAAAAUUGCCCCAAGACGCCAAGAAGCUUGAAAUAUUCCUUCCUCCCAGGGAAGAAGACAGCUUACAGCCUGGUUUAUUUUUGCAAAAAGGAGAGUGACAGUCAUAGACAUUGCUGAGAGUUCAGGGGUCUUGGCAAGAGAAACAGCUACAGUUUAUCACCAUGCUCAGACGUUCUGGCAGAGUUCGAGUCUUUGAUGGAGUCUAUUUAACAGGUAAAAUAAUAAUAAAAACAAAGGCGAUCGGGAGCAUGACACAUCAAAAGCUCCACCUUUGAGAUGACGCCGGAGCUGGCGGAAGGAUUUUCUGGGUGUCUUUGAACACAAAGCACAAUUAGAUAGGUCAUAAAUGCUUAUAGCCUAGCAGAAGAGGUGGGGAACAGACCAUUCCCUGAAGAAGCG
rnacentral:lncRNA from 1 species